rnacentral:rRNA from 2 species
GAACUCGCUGUGAAGAUGCAGUGUACCCGCGGCAAGACGGAAAGACCCCGUGAACCUUUACUAUAGCUUGACACUGAACAUUGAGCCUUGAUGUGUAGGAUAGGUGGGAGGCUUUGAAGUGUGGACGCCAGUCUGCAUGGAGCCGACCUUGAAAUACCACCCUUUAAUGUUUGAUGUUCUAACGUGGACCCGUAAUCCGGGUUGCGGACAGUGUCUGGUGGGUAGUUUGACUGGGGCGGUCUCCUCCUAAAGAGUAACGGAGGAGCACGAAGGUUGGCUAAUCCUGGUCGGACAUCAGGAGGUUAGUGCAAUGGCAUAAGCCAGCUUGACUGCGAGCGUGACGGCGCGAGCAGGUGCGAAAGCAGGUCAUAGUGAUCCGGUGGUUCUGAAUGGAAGGGCCAUCGCUCAACGGAUAAAAGGUACUCCGGGGAUAACAGGCUGAUACCGCCCAAGAGUUCAUAUCGACGGCGGUGUUUGGCACCUCGAUGUCGGCUCAUCACAUCCUGGGGCUGAAGUAGGUCCCAAGGGUAUGGCUGUUCGCCAUUUAAAGUGGUACGCGAGCUGGGUUUAGAACGUCGUGAGACAGUUCGGUCCCUAUCUGCCGUGGGCGCUGGAGAACUGAGGGGGGCUGCUCCUAGUACGAGAGGACCGGAGUGGACGCAUCACUGGUGUUCGGGUUGUCAUGCCAAUGGCACUGCCCGGUAGCUAAAUGCGGAAGAGAUAAGUGCUGAAAGCAUCUAAGCACGAAACUUGCCCCGA